rnacentral:rRNA from 1 species
GACACGACUCUCGACAAUGGAUAUCUUGGCUCUUGCAUCGAUGAAGAGCGCAGCGAAAUGCGAUACGUGGUGCGAAUUGCAGAAUCCCGCGAACCAUCGAGUCUUUGAACGCAAGUUGCGCCYGAAGCCAGCCGGCCGAGGGCACGUUCGCCUGGGCGUCAAGC